GUUCUAGUGAAAGGUAUCUCAAUUCAGAGGUACCUGAAUUAGAGGUACCCACUUAUGGGUGGGUAAAUUACUGCAAGAGAAGAUCAAGGAAGUCACUCGCCAUCUGUGAGGGAGGCAGCGGAGCCCCAGAGGCACUGGGGAGAGGCAGCUGGGCCGCGAGCUUGUGGUUGCAGAUCGGAGCUGGCCAGGUGCUCCUGAAUGCUUUCAUCCAUUUAAGGAACAUUUACGGCACUGUGAGAGAGGAUGCCAAGGAUACCAAGAGACCUGCCAAGGAUACCAAGGAUGCCAAGAGAUCUGAUGCAUAGUCUUACCCUCAAUGGGCUUACAAAGUACUGGGGGGAGACUCCGAUCCAGCCGCUGCCAUGUUGGCCACCAAGGGUAUGGGUUUGGUGGCCUCUGAGCAAAAUGCCUGCCUUUGGCAGGGAGACGGACCUAGCUCUGCUGCUGACCAGCAACGUAGCAUUGGCCAACCAUCCUAAACUUCUUGCAUCCUUAUCCAUAAAGGGCAACACGAGAGCUAUCAUUUAUCACCUGCCUGCAGGGUUUCAGCUGUUUCACAGUCAUUACUAUAGGGAAUUCUCACAACACACUGAAGCCAGUAUUAUUUCCAUUUAACAGAUGGGAAAACUGAAGCUCCAGUAAGCAAGUAGCUUGCCCCGUUCACUCAGUAAGUGGCUGAGGACAGAACUAAAUCCAGCAAUGUUUGGCUUCUAAACCCGAGUUCUUUCCAUUCCUGGAUUCUGCCUCACAGGCCUGUUGUGAAGAUUAAAUGAGAUUUUUAACGCAAAAUGCCCAGAACAAAGGCUGGAUGGCAGCAGUGUCCUGGUGAGAAGUAGCUACUGUGAUCCUGAAGGGUGUCCUCCCUCCACCCAUCGCUCCCCCCACAGCACCACGCACCUCCCACGUGAAACAUGGGGGCUGGUUUUCUCCUUGCAGUAAUUAACCCAUGUGCCAGUGUGUUUAUGGAAAAUAGCUCACUCUGUGUCUUUCAUCUCUAAGGACCCAAUCAUGUUUGGCAAGCAGACUCCCAGAUGCAAGGCCAGGUUCUCUCAGCUAAACAAAGGAGAGGAAAUUAUGCAGGAAAUUCUGACAAAGAAAGCAAUUACUCUGGUCUGACGUCGAUGGGCUACUCGUGCCAACACGGGGCCUUUUUGUCUAAAUUACCUGGGGAUGUGUCUGCAUGCACCCAGGCACGCUCAGUUAUUUUUCUGACUGGCUCUUUCACCAGGGCAGAGAUGCUGUGCUGAGAUGGAAGCGGUGGCAGCUGAAACCUGGAUAAUUAGAGCCGGCCGAACACCUUUUGACAAGGAUCAUAAAGACUUUUGCAAACAUUAAUUAAUGUCCCCACCCGGUGAAGAAAGAGCAACUUAUUUUCCAAGUGCAUCAAGGGAAGGCCUAGGCAAUAAGGUCCUGAUGGAUUUUCAACAAUAAGCUGAAAGGCUCUUUCAGAUUCCAAUUUCUUAGUGAGAAAAAAAGCCAAAGCCAAACAAUUCCUAAAAUGGCAAAAACCAGUUCUCCCAGUGCCCCAGCAGGCCUGCUGGGCCGUUCACCUUUGCUUUCAAACAUCCAGUUCCGAGGCAGACGCGAAACCCUGCAUCCUCCAGCUUGGCUCCCUCAGGCCUGGACCCCCCCUGACACCCACAUGAAAGAGGAAAAGAGGCGCUUCCCCAUCUCUGCACAGCUCACCAUCAGAGAUCCGAGCUGCUCGGCCCUCUCCCCUCACCCUGGGCUCCCCUUUUUGCCCUGUUCCAAAGCUUCCCGCCUUCGAUCUCAUAAGGCGGCCACCUGGCCCCUCAGCCCCAUGUGUGGCUUUGACCUUCACUCGCUCCUUGGUCACUGUCCCAGGCUCCAUCUGGUUUGAGCUGACCUGCGUGAAUGCCCCACCCGGCGAGUGGCUCGCCCAGCCAUGUGUCACCCCAUGCCUGCCUGCUGGGCAAGUGAUACCAGCUCAAACGCGCGCAGACCUGUCUGCUUUUCUUGUGGUUCUCUCUGCUCAGCACUGGCCUGCUUCCUGUGGGCAGCAUCACUCUCCUUCAUGAGUGCCCAUCCCUGGGCUGCUCUCACUGGACGAUGGAGUGCAGGCUUCUGCUGUAACCACUGAAUUCCACCUCCGUUUCCAACCGGCCGUGUUGACUAUUCCCAGAAGUUUCCCCGAAUGAACUCUGACCGCAUCAAAGGGAGUUUACAAAACAGGGUCAAAGCUUCAUACGCCUUGGGUCUUUCUUGUCACACUCAACUAAAACAGAGUCCAGAGGUUGCGGGUAAAGCGCUUGAGGCACAAGACGUUCCUUCAAGCAUACGAUUCUCUGCAGACCUGGCUGCUGGAACUGCCAGGUGUAACCUGAAACCAGUUUUAUCUAACAGCCACUGGAACAACCUGCUGAAAUCUAACCCCAUCACCCACAAAUCAGUGUUCGCCAGCAUCCCCAAAACCUUACUAGUGCCAAGGAACUUUAUUUCAAAACAAUACACAGCAUUUCUCCUCUUCAUAAAACCUCCAACCUUCUCUGUUCUUUGGACAUACGAGAGGCCACCGUUCUGUGUCUAUCCCCCGAACUGCAGUUGUUGCUUCCCAAAUAAAACAUGUUAAACUCAG